CCUACGGGAGGCAGCAGUGGGGAAUAUUGGACAAUGGGCGGAAGCCUGAUCCAGCAACGCCGCGUGAGGGAUGACGGCCUUCGGGUUGUAAACCUCUUUCAGCACAGACGAAGCGCCCGUUGUGGGUGGUGACGGUAUGUGCAGAAGAAGCACCGGCCAACUACGUGCCAGCAGCCGCGGUAAUACGUAGGGUGCGAGCGUUGUCCGGAAUUAUUGGGCGUAAAGGGCUCGUAGGCGGUUUGUCGCGUCGGGAGUGAAAUCCACUGGCUUAACUGGUGGCUUGCUUUCGAUACGGGCAGACUGGAGGUAUGCAGGGGAGAACGGAAUUCCUGGUGUAGCGGUGAAAUGCGCAGAUAUCAGGAGGAACACCGGUGGCGAAGGCGGUUCUCUGGGCAUGUCCUGACGCUGAGGAGCGAAAGUGUGGGGAGCGAACAGGAUUA
rnacentral:rRNA from 1 species